UGGGGAAUCUUCCGCAAUGGACGAAAGUCUGACGGAGCAACGCCGCGUGUAUGAUGAAGGUCUUCGGAUUGUAAAGUACUGUCAUUGGGGAAGAACGGUUUUCUUGAGAAUAUUGAGAAGACAUGACGGUACCCAAGGAGGAAGCCCCGGCUAACUACGUGCCAGCAGCCGCGGUAAUACGUAGGGGGCAAGCGUUGUCCGGAAUUAUUGGGCGUAAAGGGCGCGUAGGCGGGCCUUUAAGUCCGGUGUGAAAGAUCAGGGCUCAACCCUGAGAGUGCAUCGGAAACUGGAGGCCUUGAGGACAGGAGAGGAAAGUGGAAUUCCACGUGUAGCGGUGAAAUGCGUAGAUAUGUGGAGGAACACCAGUGGCGAAAGGCGACUUUCUGGACUGUAACUGACGCUGAGGCGCGAAAGCGUGGGGAGCAAAACAGGAUUAGAUACCCUGGUAGUCCACGCCGUAAACGAUGAGUGCUAGGUGUAGAGGGUAUCGACCCCUUCUGUGCCGCAGUUAACACAAUAAGCACUCCCGCCUGGGGAGGUACGGCC
rnacentral:rRNA from 1 species